rnacentral:lncRNA from 1 species
GAAGGUAAUUUAUGAAAUAUGAAAAAAUUAGAAGGAUAUAAAAGGAAAUUUAUGUUUCAUUCACAUUCCCAACCCCCCCUUGGGAAUGAGAUUCCCAUUCUUUAUUCCCAAAUUGUGUGGGACCCACACAAUUUAUUCUCAUUCCCAAAUUCAAUUUUGUCAAGUAAACAUAGCUUUGAUUCACAUUACUCCAUUCACAUUCCUUAUUUCAAGAAGUAAAUACACCACAAGUGUAUAUCGAAUACUUAAAAAUUAUAGAUUUUAAGACAUAACUGUCCAACAAUAAUACCAAAUAGGUCAUUGGAUUGGAAAGUAUCUAGCAUCUAUUUGGUAGUGUGAUUGGACAGUUGCAGCUAUAGCACUAAAGUGUUUGUUAAGCAUUUAUUGCUCUGCAUUGGAAGGUAUAUUGAUCACACACUUGUGCAAUAAAAAAAAUUAA